CAGGCCUAACACAUGCAAGUCGAACGAAGGCUUCGGCCUUAGUGGCGCACGGGUGCGUAACGCGUGGGAAUCUGCCCCUUGGUUCGGAAUAACAGUUAGAAAUGACUGCUAAUACCGGAUAACGACGUAAGUCCAAAGAUUUAUCGCCGAGGGAUGAGCCCGCGUAGGAUUAGCUAGUUGGUGUGGUAAAGGCGCACCAAGGCGACGAUCCUUAGCUGGUCUGAGAGGAUGAUCAGCCACACUGGGACUGAGACACGGCCCAGACUCCUACGGGAGGCAGCAGUGGGGAAUAUUGGACAAUGGGCGAAAGCCUGAUCCAGCAAUGCCGCGUGAGUGAUGAAGGCCUUAGGGUUGUAAAGCUCUUUUACCCGGGAUGAUAAUGACAGUACCGGGAGAAUAAGCCCCGGCUAACUCCGUGCCAGCAGCCGCGGUAAU
rnacentral:rRNA from 1 species